rnacentral:misc_RNA from 1 species
CCGUCGAAAAAAAAAAACGAUAUAUCCAGAAAGCAAACAACACAAACACAAACACACACACACACACACACACACACACACACACACACACACACACACACACACACAAAAUACACACAAUCGACGACGACAGCGAGCUGGCGGCAUGGGGCUUCUCAACACAAAGCCGUGCUCAUUGAUUCCCGCCAAGGAGGCAUUUGAGCGCGAAAAGAAAAUCUAUGGCAAAGCGAUCUUGUCGUUCGAUGGAGUCAAUGGGUACGACGUGUACAACUGCUCUGUCCCCUUCACCUACGAUGGCAAAACAUACAUCUUUGGCCGCGUGGAGAAGAAGGAUGAGUGGGUUCACUCAAACAGCAUACUAUUCGAAAAAGUAGGCGAGAACCGAUACCGUCGACACCCGACGUCCAUCACGUACAACUUGGAGGAUCCGUUUGUGGUGAAGAUUCACGGCGAAAUGGUGUUUGGCGGCACCCACGUCACGAAGAACGGCGGCAAGGUGUCCGAUUACCGUUGCGAGUUCUACCACGGAACACCCCUCAAUCUCAAGUACUUCGCUUCUGGCCCUUCAAAAAUGAAAGACAUUCGUCUGGUUGAGCUGGCUGACGGCAAGAUCGGCAUCUUCACACAUUUUCGCACAGAGGGCUCAUGCUUGACCGGCUUUGCUACUAUCGAUAAGAUAGAGGACCUUACUGUGGAGGUGAUCAAUUCGGCAAAGCUGAUCAACCACCGUCCAUUUGGAGACGCCUGGGGAGGCCCGAGUCAGGUGUACUUGCUCUCAUCCGGCUUACUGGGAUGCAUUUCACAUCACGGCUACCUCCUCGAUCAGAAGGAUGACAUUCAGCUCCGCAUUUACGCUUGCACAUCCUUUGUGUUCGACCCUGCGACCUACGACGUGUACAACUUCAAAAUCAUCGGAACCAAAGGGUGCUUCCCGCCGUGUGAACCAAAGCUACCGCACUUGGCCGAUUGCGCCUUCGUGUCUGGUAUCGAAAUGCGCGAUGAUGGCAAGUGCAACCUGUACAGCGGCAUUGGGGACGUUGCCGAGGGGUACAUAGUUAUCGACUACCCUUUUGAAGGAUACGGCAACAUUGUAAGCGAUGUCGCCUUCUGAGACACUCUGAAAGCCGUCGCUAUCGCCUGCGGCAGCGACAACCACAACUACAAAACACGUUUUCUUUUCACAAAGCUUUCGACAGGAAUGAAAGAGGGAGGGCGGAUCGCAAAACGAUAUGGUGAUGAGAAGUGAGUGUGAACGCUCUCUCCGCCAUGCGAAUGACAUGCUUCACCAGGCACUUCUCUUCACCCCGAUUGUGUUCUUCGUCUCGUUUCAGAUCUCGAGAAGCAGAGUCGUUGCAAGCAUUUCGCUUUUCCUCCACCCGCCCCCUUGGGUGACAGAAAGGGGGGAUACGCAAGUCUACCUAUUCGUGCGUAGUGUUACCAGAUGAGAACUUGAAAACAACAGGAUUCUCACUGAUAGCUGCGCCGGCGCCGGAGGUAUCGCGGCCGCGAGUGGAGGGAUACCAUGUCGGCGUACUCUUCCACAGAAAUAGGGAACUCGCCAGUCAAGAAAAGCUGGGAACGUGGAUUGGAGUGCGCCAUGCCUGUAUUUUGAUAUCAUUGCCCUUUCAUUCUUAAGGCCAUGCGCGCAAGAGGAAGUGCGCGUACUUAUUUCCACCAAAAGCUGACAAGGGGCGAAAUACAAGACGAAGGGAAGGUGGGAGAGAAACAGCGUUUUUUCUCCCCUCUUGAACCAGCUGCCUGGGCAGCUUCCAAUUAGCCCGUUGUGAACAAGGAUGGUGCGUUUUCAGUCAUUUUGUUAAGCACUCUGUUCUGCUCUGCCCUCUGCCUCAUUCACUGGAACGCGUUUCUUCGAAUCGCUCUUGGUCUCUUCCCCGUUUCACUUUCACGUACUGAAGAUGCACUAGCCCGUCUUUUUUCGUGUUUUUUUUUUGUUGCUUCUUCUUCAAUUUCGCUCUUUACCUUUUGUUCCCCAGUCCUGCCGUUUCUCUUGCUCAUGCUUCAUCUCUUUCCCACGCUAGCGAGCUGAAUGCUUCCCUUUCUUCCCCUCGUUUGUUUUUCUAAUAUUUCUUCCCCCUUUUUUUCAAUACGGGUUUCUGAAACAGCAGUGCGUGGAGCAACCUCUCGGACAGCCGCGACGGAAGGAAAGCAAAUACACUGGUGCUACUAUAUUUGGAUGCCUUUUUCACACACCUGCUCACCUGCGGACGGCCUAGCCUGCUGAUUCUAGUCUCCUCGCAAAACUACCGAAGGUGCAGGAAAG